rnacentral:tRNA from 1 species
GGAACGAUGGCUGAGUGGUUUAAAGCGAAGAUUUGCUAAGUCUUUGUAUACAUUAAUAAGUAUACCGUAGGUUCAAAUCCUACUCGUUCUG